rnacentral:lncRNA from 1 species
AAAUUAAUUGCUCCUAAUCAGGAGAGAGUGGUUGGCGGAACAAAGAAUGUGUGUCUGCGGAGGCUAGGGGUGGCUGGGUGGGUGCCUUUCAAUGUGAAAGGGGAGAAUGCGUGGGACCAGGCAAUGUGUGCACGGUAUGAAUGGAAAGAGGCCAAUGAGUGUGGAGAUGGGCAGGGAAGAGCUGCACGCGGCGCCCCAGUGGCCGGGGGCCUCCCGAGGGAACGUCUGCCUGUGAUGCGGGAGCGCCAGCCGAGGAGCCUCCUUCUCCCCACCCACCUCCCAAACUCCAGCAGUCAGUGGUGCAUAUAGACAUAUUUCUGGGAGCUGUCCAUGAGCUCAUCGCUCUCCCGGCGAUAGCGGCGGCAGCGAGGGAAGCAGCCUCAUUUCCCCCCGGCGCCGCUAGAAUAAGCCCCGCCGCUCGCACAUUCACACGCGCAGCGCGCGGCGCCGGGAAGGAGCAGCCGCCGGCCCAACCCCGAGGCCAAGGUCGCCCCCGACCCUGGUCCGCCAUGGCCCGGAGUCUCCCCGCCGGGAGGUAGGUGGGCGCAGGAAGGGGCGAGGGGCUCCGGCCAGGACUGCGGCCGGGCGAGCCAAGCGGGCAGCCGCCCCUCGCGCUCUGCGGCGGAAGAGCCGGGCGGGGCCGCGAGCGCGGCGGCUGCGGAACCUCCCCGCCCGUGUGGGGCCGCGGGCCGCAGGCCCCGCGUGGAGGAGCCACAGGAGACCCGAGGGACGCGGGCGUGACAGGAGGAAGAAACCGAAGCACCAGGAAGAUGGCUUCUCCCACCUCCCCGGCCCCGGAAGGCGGGGCCUCCACGCCGCCGAACCCGCCGCGGAUUCGUCAGGUAAGUAACUGAACAGGGACAUGAAGAACUGAUAUUUCAAAUGACAACCAUGUUGCAAAAGGUACUUUUGGUAUUUUAAUAUUACUGUAGAAGGAGCACUAUAAAAAGACACAGAGGUUGGAAUGUAUAAGUUCUAUUUUGGUAAAAAUAAUUUUUUGUGUAAACAGAUUUAAAGAUGUUAUAGUUUUGAUAAUAUUUUAAUUAUGAGAAAUGUAAUACCUAUAUGAUAGGACUUUUCUUUCUGAGUCUAGGAAAUUACUGUAAGUAUUAUUUGGGAAUAGAAAGAUAAAUAAAUUGAUCACUUUGUCAACAUAUUCAUUGGUGGAAUGAGGGAGGUGGGGGAAAGAAAUUAGAUGCAACAAAGUGAACACAUCGAGAUUUGUGCAUCAAAGCUGUAUGUUUUCUCCAAGGGCUUAUGGUUUGUUUCCUGUGAUCAAAAAAUUAUCUUCAGAAUCGCUCAUAAAAUUGAUUGCUCUAAGCUUGUCAAUAAGGCAAUUUGAUUUUGGAUAAUUCAAAUGGAUUGCAUCAGUGUGGAGAAUUUGCCAGAUUCUGUUUAUAUGAAAAAAAUUUAAAUAAAACGGAGGGAGGGAAGAAGGAAACAUUACACUUAAAUAAUAGAAUAUAGAGAUCUUGAAUAUCUGUCACAUGCAUGAUUUGGGGAAAUAUGAUUCCUUUUUGAAGUUAUGAAACUUAUCUAGAAGAACUUCUUUAUUUUCAAGAAGGAAUCUUUAAAGUAUAGAAACCAUGACAUCUGGUUGAGAGGGAGACAAUUGCACUAUGAGCUAUUAGAUGAGCUGUGUGACUCCACUACCAUUGACAGUUUUGAAAAAGACCAGUGACAUUUAGAUGUAAUGAAGCAUGUAUUGUCCCUUUAUACUAAAUUAAAAAUUCAUUCCAAUGAAUAGAAAAUAUAUGAGAAUAGUAAAAGAGAAGAACUCAACUUGUCUGUAUAAAACCACAAUUAAAAAAAUUCUAAUCUUGCUGAAGGGGCUUAUAAGAACUCAGGGCAGGUGCUAUGAAGAGGCUUAAUUUGAAGAGAAGUUAAAAAAAAACAUUAAGGAAAUAACUUUACACCAAAAAGUUUAUACUCUUCCAAUGAUGACCAUUUAAGUAGCAUGAAUUUUCUCUACUUUGUGGCUAUUUUUUGAAUGUCAAAUGAGAAUUAGGCAACUUUAUUAAUACUGAUAAUGAGAGAGCACUAAUUAGCUUGGGCUAUUUUUAGGAAGGGCAGAUAUUACCCUGUAUUAUUAUAUGAAUAUAUUAUGAUACAAUUUGCUUCACUUGAGAUAUCAGUGAGAUUUCCAAGUAUAAAUGCUAAGUUGGCAGUUGGAUAGAUAGAUGAGUCUUAGAAACUCAGAGCAGAGAUCUGUGGUAGGUUUUGGAAACCAUUGUCUCACAGUUGGUAACAAAGACUGUGGAAACCAAUGGGACCACUUUUGUAGAGAUUAUAGUAUGAUGAAGAACAGAGGACCGGUUCCGAUACCUGAAGAAAAGGAGAGAAUGAUGAGUUGAGCUGGAGUGUCAAAUGUUGCUGACAGGUCAAGGAAGAUGAAGACUUCAGUAAACCCACUGAAUUUUUCCACAUUAAGGUCCUUAGUGACUUUGGCAAGGGAAGUUUUCUUGGAAUGGUGGGGGCAUGUGCCAUAUUGGCGUGGGUUGAAGAAUAAAUAGGAGGUUAGGAGAAAAAGUUAGCAAAAAAGAUAGUUCUUGUGAAAUUUUUGUCUGUAAGUAAAAGUGGAGAGAAUCCAGUAGCUGGACUGGGAUGUUGGGAUGACAGAGUUUCGAACAUGUUUAAGUGUUAAUGGGAACAUUGCAGAGAAGGGGAGAGAUUAAAGGCAUGGGUUUCUGAGAAGGAAGGAAGGGAUGGAGUCUCAGUGCAGGAAGGGGGAUUACUUUUAGCUGAUGGGAGGAAUCCGCCUCAACAUAACUAAGGCAAUGGCAGUAGGAUAUGUACAGACACAGAUAGGGUUAUAGACUUGGUAGGUAGUUUAGGGGAGUAUCAACAAAGGUUUCUAUUUUCUCUAAGAAGAGGGUGUGGUCAGAAUACUUAGUAGGGAUUUGAGGAAAUGUGAAGAGUUUGAAGUAGUGUUUGUGGAGAAUGGGAGAAGGAAAUUUGCACUGGGGACAGUGUUAGACUAGGUUGGUAUUAAUGACUGGGAAUUUGUAAUGGUUGGGAAUUAAUGACUGUGUCAUCUGAUUCCCUGAAUUUUGCCAGUGGAUUUAAGCUUCCAGUCUGAUUACAAUUCUCAGUCAACCAUUGUAGACCAUGACAAGCCUUAGGUGGUUGAAGGAUUUAUUGAAACCUAAUAUAUAAUGACCUUCUCCCACAGAAUUAAAAUAGAGCCAUAUUUGAAGACAUUAAUCUAAUUGUGGUGUUUUCCCUUAAUUUGCAUGAACAUAUG